rnacentral:miRNA from 1 species
GAGACUGAUGAGUUCCCGGGA